rnacentral:rRNA from 1 species
AUGAGGAUACAACACACCUGCCCUAGUUCUACUGAAACAAGCAGGGUAAGUGCAAAGUGGCUUGCAAAGAAAUAUGAGCCACUAUUCAGAUCUGAUGUCAGUACUAGCAUACAUACACUUAUUGAUGCCUGCAUGGAAAAGUAUGGUGUGGAUGUGCCCAAGGCUAUGACAUAUAGGGCAAAAAACUUAGCUGUUGAGGCUGUGUUGGGAGAUCAUAGGAAGCAAUACCCAAGGCUGAGAGACUAUGCUCAGACUGUGAUGGAUACAAACCCUGGGAGUAGAGUUAUAGUCACCACUGUAACUCCAAAAGCCACUGAAAAAAUCCCACAUCCAGGACCAAGAUUCCAUGCCAUGUUUUACUGCAUCAAUGGAGCAAGGGAGGGAUUUCUACAGGGCUGUAGACCAUUCAUUGGUUAG